GUGCCUACGGGACGCAGCAGUAGGGAAUUUUCGUCAAUGGGCGCAAGCCUGAACGAGCAAUGCCGCGUGAACGAGGAAGGUCUUCGGAUCGUAAAGUUCUGUUGACGGGGAAAAAAGACCGGGAAAGGAAAUGAUCCCGGAGGAGAUAUUACCCGUCGAGGAAGUCACGGCUAACUACGUGCCAGCAGCCGCGGUAAUACGUAGGGGGCAAGCGUUAUCCGGAAUUACUGGGUGUAAAGGGUGAGUAGGCGGCAUGGUAAGCCAGAUGUGAAAGCCUUGGGCUUAACCCGAGGAUUGCAUUUGGA
rnacentral:rRNA from 1 species